UGCAGUCGAGCGAACAGAUGAAGUGCUUGCACUUCUGACGUUAGCGGCGAACGGGUGAGUAACACGUAAGGAAUCUACCUAUAAGCGGGGGAUAACAUUCGGAAACGGGUGCUAAUACCGCAUAAUAUCUUCUUCCGCAUGGAAGAAGAUUGAAAGACGGCUCUGCUGUCACUUAUAGAUGACCUUGCGGUGCAUUAGUUAGUUGGUGGGGUAACGGCCUACCAAGACGAUGAUGCAUAGCCGACCUGAGAGGGUGAUCGGCCACAUUGGGACUGAGACACGGCCCAAACUCCUACGGGAGGCAGCAGUAGGGAAUCUUCCGCAAUGGGCGAAAGCCUGACGGAGCAAUGCCGCGUGAGUGAAGAAGGCCUUCGGGUCGUAAAACUCUGUUAUAAGAGAAGAACAAAUUGUAGAGUAACUGCUACAGUCUUGACGGUAUCUUAUCAGAAAGCCACGGCUAACUACGUGCCAGCAGCCGCGGUAAUACGUAGGUGGCAAGCGUUGUCCGGAUUUAUUGGGCGUAAAGGGAGCGCAGGUGGUUUCUUAAGUCUGAUGUGAAAGCCCACGGCUUAACCGUGGAGGGUCAUUGGAAACUGGGAAACUUGAGUACAGAAGAGGAAUGUGGAACUCCAUGUGUAGCGGUGGAAUGCGUAGAUAUAUGGAAGAACACCAGUGGCGAAGGCGACAUUCUGGUCUGUUACUGACACUGAGGCUCG
rnacentral:rRNA from 1 species